rnacentral:lncRNA from 1 species
GGCAAUGAAUGCCUAAGGAAACAGACAUUAACAGAAGAAAGAUGAUGAUUGUUUAUUUUGUAUCAGUUAUUUAUAAACAUUUCAUUCUUGGGGAAGAGAGUAAGCCCACGGAGGUUUUGUUUUGCUUUUUACUGCUGUCCCUAUUCAAAUGACUUUUAAAAUUUCAAAAAGGAUUCAUAUCUCUGGGACUUAUACAGCAAUUAUUAUUUCUUAAGGAGUUGGACAUUUUGAUGGGGAUAAAUAUCAUUGUUUAUUAUUGUCUAAGAGAAAUGCUAGAUAUUCCCAUUUCUAGACUAAUCACUGGUGAAUUGUUUCUUUGAUUGACAAGCCUCCAGGUUGAACCUUGGAUAAUAAAUUGGAUAUGUCUAAAGCUAGUUUGAGAAUCCAGAUAAUGUUUUUUUUAAUAGAAUGAUCAUAGCACUUUCUUCUUCAUGCCUUUUUAUAAGUUCUAAAAAUAGAUCAUGAUAUGUGGCAUUCUAGGAUUGAAUUCUAUAACAAUCUCUUGUACUCGGUGGAGAGAGUGAACAACUUCAUAUUCUUCAGGCUCCUUUGUAUCCCUAGAGAUUAACACCAUAUGGUGUAUGUGGCUCCCAACAUAUGUGCUAGCAGAACAAUGGUAGCCAAUGGUGUUAACAAUGACCCUGACUUCUGAGUCAUCAAAUACAGAGUACAUUCUGUUCAGUACCAGCUUCUAAUCCUUUCUACUUGCUGCUUGAAUUGCAUCCCUCCACCUACUCCAGGAUACUGAAUAAAGAUGUAUGCUUCACUUCUGGCUGCCCUUAUCUGCUUAUGAGACAGUUUCUUCUAAUGUCCCAACAGAAGAAGGAAGCAGCUUUUUGUCAGCCAGCGAAACACCCUUACCACUGCCUCUUGGAAUCCAUGAUGACUUUCAAGUCUCUUAUAGCUGUGACACUAACUAGUCAUGCAGGAGGACACCACCGAUGAGCUUUAGAUAGUAACAAGAUGGAAGGAGGGGUUGCUGCUAGCCCUGCAUUCCAGACUUCCAUCCAAUCAUAAUGUUUCCAUCAUCUAUGAUUCUUCAGACUUUGUAACCAAUCAUAUUGUUUUGUGCUUUCUCUCUUUUGUUCUCUUGUACUUUCCAAAACUAUAUAAAGCCUAGUAAGCCCUGCCUCAUGAUCUCUUGGCUGGCCAAAGAGCCAAGAGAACCAUUUUGUUGGUAAUUGCUAGCCUUAGUGAUAAAUUGAAUGAGCCCAGGCCUUCUCCCAGCUGUUAGUGCUUUCUCCUCCAAAGUUACCUGGC